CAAACUGUCAGUAGCGAUUUGAGAUACUUAUAGAUUUUAGGUCAGAAACUUCCAAAAGUUCGCAAUGUACUCGUUAGUAUUUAGUUAGCGUUGUCUAUAAGGCUUCCUUAGUACUUUUUGAUAGCAUUCUGGGGUGCCCAGGAUUUCUAGCCGGGGAUGUGCUGCGAUCCAAAAUCCAGAAACUGGACAUAGCUGGUGUGUUUGGAAUGGCGUGCAGGCACAAGCAUCCGCUGAACCUGAAGACAGGAGAGAAGUUUGUGGAUGGAAUGGAUGCUUCAGAUGUAUAGUUUACGUAUUUUAUUUAUGUAUGACAUUGGCUAUGAUGACUGAUGUUGAACUGUCAUUUCAAGGCUUGCAAAUACUGUGUUCUUACUGGGGACCUGAAAGCAAUGCAGGAACCAAACAUCUCAACGUUUCUUCACUAUGACAUUGCUAUGUCAGAAAAACAGUCCCGAUCUGAUGGUGGACCCCACAGCCUUUCAUGCCUAUGCUCGUAAUGCUGACUGUCAGGUCACUGAUUGUACCAGGUAUGUGACUGGUAGUGGGCUUGCUGACAGAGAACAGAUGGAGGAGAGGUUGUACUAGUUUGGAAAAUAUGAAAGAUCACAAAAGAGAUGACACCAUCUCAUCGUGUUGACACCCUCACCGAUGCCCUCUAUUACGUGGUCCGGGAGAAGCAAGCAACGGCAAUACAACUCUGUCAGCAGAAGGUCCUAAAGGAGGAAACUGAGGCAAAGGAGGAGUUGUUGUGUGCUCGACAGCAUUCCAGGCAGCACACGGUCGGACGUGGAAGUUUGGACCUGUAAGAUAAAGGAAAACCUCAGACAAGAGGACGUUGUUCCUUACCUGGCAGGAGAGAGAUGUGGAAACUCUUGCAGAGCAACAUCGAGUCGCAUGCACAGACUAUUGCUGUGCAGCUCUCCAGAAAAUCCAGGUGGACAUCGGAGAGAAUAAAAAAGCAGAUCAUCUCCUACAAUGGAGGGAACAAGUCACCUCAAUUCCCCCUAAGACUGGAGUACAUGGAUGUUCUCCAGCAAGACCAUCCAGUCUAGUCCCAGGUGUCCAAACCUUUGGGGAUAGUCUGCUCCGGGCCAAGCAGCAUGCAGUGAUGCUGCACAAGGUCCUAAACGAUAUCAUAACCGCCAUCGAUAAAAGACUGUACUCUGCAGCCAACUUCAUCGACCUGGCCAAGGCUUUUGACUCUGUCAAUCACCGUAUUUUUAUCGGCAGACUCCACAGCCUUUGUUUCACUAAUGACCUCCUCGCCUGGUUCACUAACUACUUCUCAGAUGGAGUUCAGUGUGUCAAAUCGGAGGGCCUGUUGUCCGGACCUCUGGCAGUCUAUGGGGGUGCCACAGGGUUAAAUUCUCGGGCCGACACUCU